GCAGGGCUGCAGAGAGGAUGGAUUGCAAGACGUCAACAGUCUAUUUAUGCUGAACUGGAUACUGGACUCUACCACAGCUGUAUACGACGUUCUCCGUCGAACAUUAUUCCCCAUUUUAGUUCCAGGAAUUUUUUACAACAACUUCUCACGGAGAUAACAGGCCACACUGUGUUUUAGAGUAAGCUAAACGGAGCUCAACGACUUGCAGGCUAAAAGCCAACUGCUUUAUGUGCAGGAUCCCCCUCCCCCCAAGAGACACGCAUACACAAAAAAACAGGGACUGAUCUGUGUGAGGCCACAGCAGGGCACAUUAAAUCGCCUUGAUACAUGAGGCAAUUUGCUUAAGACCAUCCAUAACUUCUCCCUGCAAAAAAGGGACCAGCCCAACUUUCUGGCAGCUGACGCCCAGGUCCCUGUUAUCCAGUUGGAGGGUAGAACACCACAUCCAGCACUGGCAUCAGCAAGAAACAACUAAGAGCAAAAGUUUCUUCCAGAUGCAAACAGAUCCAAACAGACAUGUGAAGGGCUGAAUAAACCCCUGACAAUGCUCCUGACUCCUUGAGGAAACAACGCUUUGAAAGACUGACCGUGAGCGGUUUGUAUUUAUCUGCCUCUUGGAGAUUAUUGAGCCUUUAUAUCUCUCUUUAAAGUUUUAACAUGGAAACUUCAGCCUGUAGAUGCUCAUCUAUGAUUCCAUCCCAUCCAUCAUGAUUCGAAAUCCUAUUUAAGGUUGAAGAACUUUCUCCUUCCUGAAGUUCAGAAAUGUCACCAUGUGGGCAAGUGGUCUGUCAGAGAUUUUCCCGCUAUGGGGAAGUUGUCCUCGCUGAGCAACUGUGGAAUGAGUCGUUCCAAAAAUCCCACCACAUCUUUUCCUUCUGCUUGCUCAGGGAUGUUAAGGAUUCUGAUGUUUGAUCCUCUGCUUUCAGUAGAGUUAUUAUUAUUCUCCCAUUCUGCCUUCACAGUCGCUCAUGUCUUUAAUGUCAUUGUUUACUGCCACUCAUGUUUCCAUCUCCCUCACCUGCUCGGACAGUGUGGAGAGUGAAGACUCAAUUUUAGUUAGGGUAGUUUGAAUGCCAGAUGUUCAUCCUCCUUAGUCUCUCGGAGGGCCUCGUGUAGUAUAUAAAUGAAUUAUAAAUGAACCCCUGUAAAUCAUCACACUUUAGAGUUCAGCUGUCUGUAUUUUAGGAUAGUUUUUUCAUUGCUCUUUGGUACGUUUAUGUACUGCUCUGUUGAACAAAACAGAACUGUUGACUG